rnacentral:lncRNA from 1 species
CACGUUUCAUUUAGCCUUUGAAGCGUCUUAAGGCAAAAGUGGGAGCUCCACCAUGUGUGUAUGUGGUGAGAAAGCUUGACCUUGGGACCUUCACUUAUUUGCUUUCAGAGUACUGUGAUUGAUGUUUUGUAGGUUACUUGCACCACAUUAAUUGCAUCUAUGAAUUAUUAUAUCUACUUGAACUAACCCUUACAAGAUGAACAAGUGGAUUAGGCAGAUUCCUACGAAGAAACUGUUUGAAGACUAAACUGAAUGCAAGCAAGAGCAAACCACAAGAAAGCAACAGAGCCGCUGCCACUUCUCCUACUAGACAAAUGCUUCGUCAGUCGCUUAAGAGCAAAACAAAUAUAGAAAAGCAAGGCCUGAGGUCAUGCUAUGCAAACCAACCCCUGGGAUCCAUCUGGUCCAACAACCUCAGCUCAUUGAGAAAAGGUAUAGCUGGCCUGCAAAGGUAAGCUGUCUGACUAUUGAGAAAGCAAUAGGUUAUAUUCUGUUUACACUAGUCCUUAGGAAGCAAAUAUUGAAAUAAAAAUGUUCUGAUAUCAGCCGCUGUAUUUCCAUAUGAGCUAAAGGACACUAAGUUUUUAUAGGGCAUGAAAUAUUUAAUUCUGUAUUCUUUUCCCUCAGAAUCUCAACAUUAGUGUUUAAGUAAAGGUAAGCACUAAUAAUGUGAAAUUAAAAAGAUACUACCAUUGGGUCUCAAGACAUCAUUCUGAAAUAAGAAAAAGAAAUGUGAUAUAAUUUUAAGAGAAAUGCAACUAAAAUAUUUAUUUCAAACCUAUAAAGGCUGCUGAUUAGACACCCCAAUAUUUUUUUCGAUCACUAACUGGGUCUUCCUUGCAAGGCUCCAGGAAGACACCAACGAAUCCACGGCACAUUGCGAAGUCAUCACUAGUUAUGAAAUAGACUCUACUCUAUUGAUUGUAUUACAGUUUGUAACCUAUUGUAUUAAAACUACUUUAGUAAGUGG